GAUGAAGAACGCAGCGAAAUGCGAUACGUAAUGUGAAUUGCAGAAUUCAGUGAAUCAUCGAGUCUUUGAACGCACAUUGCGCCCCCUGGUAUUCCGGGGGGCAUGCCUGUCCGAGCGUCAUUGCUGCCCUCAAGCACGGCUUGUGUGUUGGGCCUCCGUCCUCCUCCCGGGGGACGGGCCCGAAAGGCAGCGGCGGCACCGCGUCCGGUCCUCGAGCGUAUGGGGCUUCGUCACCCGCUCUUGUAGGCCCGGCCGGCGCUUGCCGACACAUCAAUCUUUUUUCCAGGUUGACCUCGGAUCAGGUAGGGAUACCCGCUGAACUUAAUCAUAUCAAUAAGCGGAGGA
rnacentral:misc_RNA from 1 species